UACGUAGGGUGCGAGCGUUAAUCGGAAUUACUGGGCGUAAAGCGUGCGCAGGCGGUUUUGUAAGACAGAUGUGAAAUCCCCGGGCUUAACCUGGGAACUGCAUUUGUGACUGCAAGACUAGAGUGCGGCAGAGGGGGGUAGAAUUCCACGUGUAGCAGUGAAAUGCGUAGAUAUCAGGAGGAAUACCGAUGGCGAAGGCAGGUCUCUGGGCUGACACUGACGCUCAUGCACGAAAGCGUGGGGAGCAAACAGG
rnacentral:rRNA from 1 species